ACCCCUGCCUCUGGACAGGGAGACAUUUUAUAUGGGAACUUUGACAGCAGAGUGAGGAAACUGAGUAACAGAGAUGAGAGUCAGUGGGAAACUUAGCUGUGCUUUGGAUGUGGACAGGUGCAUGUAAUUUUAUAAGUAUUCCAGCCUAAAUACUCCUGUGGGGGCUCUGCUCUUUGUACUCACUGUUUUUCUUCUUCAAAUGUUUUCUUCCUCUAGCAAAUCCCCCAUGGAUUUUGGGAAGAUCAGGGAUGAUGAGCAGGUGUCUGCCUGGUGUGGUGCUGAAGUCAGAUGACAAGUAAACCUUUAUAUCACCUCCCCUUAUCUAGGACAAGCAUGGGGACAGUGUGUUUAUAUGGUGGAUUACGUUGAUGGAUUUUCAUAUGUUAAGCCAGUCCUGUAUCCCUGGGAUGAAGCCUACUUAAUCAUGGUGAAUGAUAUUUUGAAGUGUUCCUGGCUUUUGUUUAUCACACAGAGCGGCCUCAAACUCACUGUCUAUUGAAGAAACAUUUCUACCAAUUGGCUGUCCUAAUUCUCCAAAGGAAAAUACAGGACACAACUCUCCACUGCCAGCAGAUUUGUUUGCAUCUGUAGCUAGAUGAACUCUUCUGGAUAACGGCCAGUUUAUCACAUCCCGAAAGCAACUAUUCUUAAUAGAUAUCUACUGAACAUCCUACCUACCACCAGCAGAACUGCUAAUAACAGGAGUGGCUUCAUGAGACAUUUGUCUACAGAACCAUUACACGUUUUUCUAGCUGUGUGCACUUUUUAUUCAUUGUUCUUUUUAUCCUCUGUAUGGUAAGGGACUACCACCAAACUGUACCAGUAUAGAUUCACAUGCCAAGUCAGUCUCUGUUUAUUCUGUGUCCUAGUUAGCUUUAACUGUCAACUUUGUACAACCUACAUGAGAAGGGAGCUUCCACUGUAGAAUUGCCCAGAUCAGGUAAGCCUUUGGGAAUGUCUGUGGGGGAGUCUACUGAUACAGUCUACUGUGGAAAUCCACUGUGGGCUUCAUCAUUUCCUGGUGCUCUUCAGCUGGAGAAGAACUAGUUAAGCAUGAUGUGUGACUGAGCCACCAAGCAACAUUCCUUCAUGAUUUCUGCUUCAUGUUCUUCCCCCGACUUAUCUCAAUAAUGAACUAUGACCUGGAAAUGUGAGCUAGAUAAAACUUUUCUUUCUGUAAAGUUGCCUUUGGUCAGAAUGC